GAGAGCACACGGGAGUAUGGUAUUAUGCACCCAUACGGUCCGAAUCUGUAUACUUCUUUGUAUCAAUCUUCAUGUGUGACCCGAGCUUAAAACUUACACCCUAACCAAACUCACAAAGGGGUGUCUGGUCUCCUCGCUAGAGGAGCUCUGAUAUGAACCAUUUUAAUUUAUUUUAUUAUAAAAUCAAUGGCAGUGGUUGGAUGUUUGGUUUUUUUUUUUUUUUUGACACGGUUGGAUUGGAUGUUUCGCUUUGGCAAGAUGCAAGAGAAAGGACCACCAAAAAUGGGCCGGCGUCGCUUACGUCACGCCCGCCAGCCCAACAAAUGUUCUUCGGCCUGUCGCCUUUCGUCAUCCAUGGCGGUUUUGGGCCCAGGAUGGCUGCAUUGGCCGGCGGCGCAAGGGUUUGAGGGCGCCGGCGCCGGCGCCGGCGAGGCGGCGAGCUCCACCGGCGAAGCACCCCCACCGUGACGGCGGAUCCGGGCCUCCGAGGUCCGCGCUGCGCGCGCGCGCGCGCGGCCGAACCUCGCCUAGCUGGACGAGAAGAGGGGGGAGGGGGGGGGGGGGGUGGGAAGCACACCGCAGUUUAUUCUAGGAAUGGACAACUAGCAUAGGAUCAAGAAUGCUCCGUGCCUUAAGGGGCAAUGAAGAUUCAAUCCAAAGAAGUUCAGCCCAACAAAUGUAAGCAAUCUCAAAUCACUAUAUUAGAUGUAAACAUUUUUUUUAAUAUAACUUGUAUCUUUAACAGCAUUGAGAACAACUUUGUAGUGAAAAACAUUGUUGGCUAUGUGGUCCUACCUUUCUAAUGUGAUGCUUACAGUAAUGUUGCAUGAUGAAACUUCUUCCUCGCUAGGAUUUACAUUGAAGUAAGCUGGUUGCAUAGGCAUGGGUAAGCUCACAUUCUUGGUGUUUAGCAUCGUGACAACCCGCUCCAUAGCCGGUCGAAAUUCUGCACUUUCUUGAACACAUAAAAGCGCAACAUGAAUGCACCUUUCUAUCUCUUGAUGUUUAUUCCCUGGAGGAUAAUAAAUCAGAUCACCCCAUUUUCCAUCUCUCCAAAGUUGCCAAGCCUAAUACCAGAAUAGUGUGCUUUCGU